AGCAGGGCAGCGAACACAGAGAAUAAACAGGAUGCUCACACGGAACCGGGCUAAAGGGACACAACGCUGAGAGGAUACAGGAGUCUGAGGAAGGGGUGGAAAUAUCCAUGUUGAUUAAUCCUGCCGCCUAAAAGUGGAGUUAGAUGAGCUGCUGUGGUUCGCUGAACAUUGGAAGAGUUAGCAGAACCACAACUCAGGGGGAAGGAGCAGUAGGAAGGAAGGAAGGGAAGACAUAAGGAAGCAAGGAAAGAAGAAAGAAAGAGAGAAUACAAGGAGAUAGGAUCUGGGAGCCUGAAUUUUGUAUCACAGACAAGCAAAGGCAAUAAAAAAUGGCAAUAAAAAAAACCCCAUUGAAUCCUUGAACACAAGUGAAAAUACACAAGAAAAAAAGGGAAGAGAGAUACAAAAAACCAAGGAAGGAAGGAAGCAUACAAGAAUGAAAGGGAAGGAGGAUACAAAAAAAGAAGGAAGAAAACAGGGAAGGAAAGAAGAAUAUUAAGUGAAGCUACAAUGAAGGAGGAAUGGCAAAAGGAAGGAUGCGAAGUAGAGAGGAUAGGAAGGAAAGAAGGAAGGAACGGAAGACGAUAGAAAGUUUCUAAAACCCACUGAUGAAAGCAGGUUUCCAUGUUUCUGUGCUGGUUCAUCAAAUAUUCUGACCUGAAGCUCUGAGCUGCUGCCCGUCACGGUGUGGACUGACUUCCACAUUAUUCACCUGAACUUAGCUUUUCAUGUCAGAUCCUAUGAACAAUCAUCAUCAGCAUCCUUCAAGCAGUUUGAGUCACAUUCAGGUAAAAAGGUUGAUUCAUUUCAUAUGAAGCUUUCUAAAUGUUUUUCUAUUACAACACUCAACAAAAAUAAAACUAAUCUUGACUUGCAUCACUGAGAUGCUUUCAGAGCGGAGCCUGCAUGCACACACCCCAGCAAUGUGGUCUCAUACACACACACUCACACACGCCUACACGGUCUCACUUCCUCCCAGCAGUACCUCUGUUACAAUUAAAAAUGGCUGCCAGCCAUAAAGCAUGCAGAGCGCUUAUAUAAGCGUGGCGUUCACAUGCUGCCAUGCAGUCGGAGCUCAGAGUGCCGUCAGCUUGGACUUUGAGAGCAGAUUGGUCAUGUGACUUGACCGCUGUAAACGCAAAUAUGACUUCCUGAAUAGAAAGGCUGGCUGGUUGUACCCUCACUGAAGGCCUUUCUUUUUUAAAAAAUAUAUUUUAUUUACUGCAAACAAACCAAAAUAAAUCCUCUAAUUGAACUGAACUCUUUUUUUUCCCCCAAAUUCGUGCUUGAAAAAAAAAAUCCAAUAUAUGAUCAAAGCAACGAAUUAAAACGAUCAAAGGGUCGGACUGUGACUGAGUUCAGGUUAAUAAGGAGAAAUGUGGAUGAAUAUGGGCUUGAACAGCGAGAGCGUUCCUGAGCUGAGUGUGGGCGGAAUAAAGGCGUGGAACACACUCGGCCUUUUCACAAUCAAAACACACACACACACACACGCACACACACACACACACUCUGAAUGAUUCACCUUCUCAUUUUCUACAUGCUGAAAUCUCUACACUGCUCUGCUGAAACUGAGGGGAGUCUAAAUGCGUGCAGGUUCCCUGAACGGCCACAGGAGGGAGCCGCAGGCUCACUGCAGGGCAGGAGGAUACAGGAUGUGGAGCCGAGUUUAAGAAAGAAGAUUCCUCUGCUGGGUUUACUUUAAUAACUCCCAUGAUUAAUCUGUAUUAAUUCAUCUGAAAAAUAAAACAAUAAACAAACUGCUACAGUGUUUUUGACUGGAUGUGUUUUUAAAACAAAAGGAAAAGGUUUGAGAUUAAAAACAUAUCCUCCGAGUGGUGACCAUAAGAUGACCUCCUGGUAUCCUUGCAGUGCAUCAUGGGACGGUUUGAUGUUCCCAAAAAAAAAACCAAAAAAACAAAACGUCCCGGACACCACAUCAAACUUUUGCAAAACGUUCCAUGAGGUUUUACAUCCAAAACAAGAUGAAACUUCACUUUGCUCUGUUUCUGUUUUCAGUAGGAACAGCGUCAGGAAAACCACUCUGAUUGGCUCCAGAUAAGCUCUUACAGUAAAAACUACUGGAGUUAAAAUCACUCUGCAAUAGUGUGUGUAACAAUAGUUACUAAAAAAAACAUUGUGAGUGGAUGACAUCAGCUCUCUCCUGUUGCUACAUGCUGCUUCUCCCCUCAGUGCUGCCGCUGCACGGCAUUCUGGGAAUCUGCUGACCUGCCUUCAUCCAGCCGCCCUCAGCUGAAAUGUGUGCAUUACUGUGGUUUAUGCUUCACUGUGAGUUUUAAAAAGCUUGCUGUGAACGACCGGAAACGCAGAUGACGCUUGGAGAACGGUGUGUGUGCUUCCAGAUCAGACCAAUAUCCGAUGGCAGAGCGGUCACAUGGACCUGCAACUGUUUACCACAACCAAAUGCAGGACUAAUGAGGUCAGGAGCGCAGACGAUGGCGGAAUGAUGUCACUCAGCCGGAGGCAGGAGGCAACUCACCUGAGCGAGGUUUCAGCCCAAACGGCGGACUGGAGAGAGAUGGAGGUCCCAUGAUUGGAGAUCGGUGUUCUUGCUGGAACAACAGAAAUUACAUCAUCGCUUAAAAUAUUCAACCAUCAGUAAAUUAACAGAAUUGACACAUAAAGUUUUCCAGCACAUGGGAGCAGUUUGCAUAAACUCCUAAAUGACUCAGCAGAGAUGAACUAAAAACAAAACAAAACACAUACAGUUGUGCGAUGAAGCUUUAUCAACAGUAUUUCACUGGUCAAAACUAAUACUUUAUUCUCAUAAUUUUCUUUUUUUAGUGUGACCCUAACACACUGUUGUAAAAACAUCUCAAAAGGUAAAAAUGGAAUAGCUAAGCUAAUGCUAUAUAGAAGAUGCCAGGAUUGGUGGUAAUAAAGAGACCAAACUCAUCUGCAAAUACCUAAAAUCAGUAGAUAAUUUACUGUGUCUAAAUUAACUGCCUAUUAUAAUAGUUUACACACCAAAUCUACCUUCACAUCAUGUAUUAAUACAUGAUGUGGAAAUCGCAUUAACACAACCGCAGAAGCUAACGCUCAUGGCCUUCCUCAUCUCUGCUCUGGGGGUGCAGCCAAUCAGCAUCAAGAAAAAUAAAUCCAGGAAUAAUGUGGAGUUACAUUCCACAGAACAAUCCACGAAUAAGUGAUUCACGGGCUUCACUGAGAAAACGUUGUUUCCCAGACUACGUCUCAAUCUCAUCAACCUAAUAUUGUAUCGUUCUUUCCCAUGUGAUGAGCAGAUUGUUACAUAAAUGUCCACUCAGGCUGACAUUAUUUAGGAAAGAGUGGGGGAAAAAA